rnacentral:lncRNA from 1 species
UGCAAAAGGCCCCAACAUCAGUGGUGGGGAAAGAGGAAAGCACCUCCUCCAAUCAAUAGUAAUUCUCAGCUGGGUCCUACUAAGUCCUGAAUUGUUGGGCUGGCGGCAACAUGAAGGGGAACAAACUUCCUAUUUUGUGAACCACUAAUGUAAAAUAAGAAUAAUGCAGUUUUCACAUGGCUUGGCUGCAGAAGGGAACAAGCAUCCAGACAAGGAGUUACUACACCUUCUCCUGCUCCUCUUGGCCAUAAUGAACCAUCUCAAUCUCCAGCUCCAGGAAUGAGUCAUACCACCUGGAAGGACUCUGUGUACUACUGUACUCAGGUAUUCA